AUCCAGCUGACGAGUCCCAGAUAGGAUGAAACGCUCGUCUUGGAU
rfam:Schistosoma rodhaini strain Burundi genome assembly, scaffold: SROB_scaffold0000518